UAUUGCAAACCCUAGAAACCCCCCAUCCUCUUGCGAAUGUCGGCAAGUCCCAAAUCAUCAUCACCCGAAACCCUUAUUCUCCUUUGUGUUCAGGAUUGGAUUGACCAAACCGCGAACACACACUUUAAUCUUACCGAGCAAAUCAAGGUCGUUAGAUUUCUUGGAUUUGGAACUUGCUGUCUGGAGUAGCUGGAGUGGUUAUGGGUCGUACUGAUUGGAUAUACAUGAUUGGUUUAUUGAUUAUACACAUUUGCUUUGAAAUAGUUAAACUAUUAUUGACUUAUCGCUUCCGCUAAACUUGUUGGAUUUACAUUAAACUUAUAGUUGGUACAUUACGUUAAUAAUUGGAAAUUUCAUUUGAAAACUUGUUAUGAGUUCAACAUGAUUGGUGGCUCGUUAUUGG